UUAAUCAAGAACGAAAGUUAGAGGUUCGAAGGCGAUCAGAUACCGCCCUAGUUCUAACCAUAAACGAUGCCAACCAGCGAUCAGCGAGCGUUCCUCCAAUGACGCUGCUGGCAACUUCCGGGAAACCAAAGUAUUUGGGUUCCAGGGGAAGUAUGGUUGCAAAGCUGAAACUUAAAGGAAUUGACGGAAGGGCACCACCAGGAGUGGAGCCUGCGGCUUAAUUUGACUCAACACGGGAAACCUCACCCGGCCCGGACACUGGAAGGAUUGACAGAUUGAGAGCUCUUUCUUGAUUUAGUGGAUGGUGGUGCAUGGCCGUUCUUAGUUGGUGGAGCGAUUUGUCUGGUUAAUUCCGAUAACGAACGAGACUCUGGCCUAUUAAAUAGAAGGUCGAUAACAUGCAGUCGACCAGCUCUUCUUAGAGGGACAGGCGGCUUUUAGCCGCACGAAAUAGAGCAAUAACAGGUCUGUGAUGCCCUUAGAUGUCCGGGGCCGCACGCGGGCUACACUGAAGGAAUCAGCUGGUGACAUCCCUAUGCCGUAAGGACUGGGUAAUCCGCUGAAACUCCUUCAUGAUAGGGACUGGGGCUUGAAAUUCUUGCCC
rnacentral:rRNA from 1 species